rnacentral:misc_RNA from 1 species
AAGUCGUAACAAGGUUUCCGUAGGUGAACCUGCGGAAGGAUCAUUAACACUUUUUAUCCAAUAAAAAAACUAAACGUGAACUUUUCCCGUCCCUAUAUCAUUUUAUAUGAUAUAGGCUAACCAUUUAUUUUAUUUAAAACCACUUUAACUUUUUAUAAGUCUUUGUUUGUAAAGCCUAACGGCCUACAAAACAAAAAGACUGACUAACUAAAAAUUUUACUUAAGAUGUCAAACAUUAAAUGUUGAUCUCUUAAUUAAUAUUUUUUCUUUACGAAAUAAAUAUUAGUAUAUAAGAACAACUCUUAGCAAUGGAUAUCUUGGUUCUC